UACGUAGGGUCCGAGCGUUUGUCCGGAAUUAUUGGGCGUAAAGAGCUCGUAGGCGGUUUGUCGCGUCUGCUGUGAAAUCCCGAGGCUCAACCUCGGCCUGCAGUGGGUACGGGCAGACUGGAGUGCGGUAGGGGAGAAUGGAAUUCCUGGUGUAGCGGUGAAAUGCGCAGAUAUCGGAGGAAGAACCAACGGCGGAGGCAAGGCGGUCCUGGGCCG
rnacentral:rRNA from 1 species